UACGGAGGGUGCAAGCGUUAUCCGGAUUUAUUGGGUUUAAAGGGUGCGUAGGUGGAUUAGUAAGUCAGUGGUGAAAUCUCCGGGCUUAACCCGGAAACUGCCAUCGAUACUAUUAGUCUUGAAUAUCCUGGAGGUGAGCGGAAUAUGUCAUGUAGCGGUGAAAUGCUUAGAUAUGACAUAGAACACCAAUUGCGAAGGCAGCUCACUACGGGAUUAUUGACACUGAGGCACGAAAGCGUGGGGAUCAAACAGG
rnacentral:rRNA from 1 species